ensembl:lncRNA
GGAACUUUCUCGGGAGGGGGGAAUGUGCAUAUAGUUAGGCAGGCACGUGGGAGGUUGGCAUAUUCAGAAAACCACAGGCAAAGUUGAGAGGUUUUCAGUCUAGAGUGAGCUGGUGUGGUGAGAGGGAGAGAAGUAGCAGUGACCUCCAGCCCUGGCCAGGGAGAUCUGAUGGAGAGGACGUGUUCACCAGAAACCAGAGCGUCAGCACCGGAUGAAGAACAGGGCUAGAGCAGCACUGUGCAAGGAUCGAGCAUGUGUGGAGAAUCAGACAGACAUGGUGUCCGCGCUCAAGGCGCAUAACUCAGCGGGAAGACAGAAGAUAAAUACAGUAACAACUGACACUUUCUACAGGCUAGAUAGAAGCUCAUUUAACCCUCACAACAACUCGGCGAAGUCGCUCCUCCUACUAAGGGAGAGACAGGGUCACAUAAAGGUUGCACUCAGCUCCAGGAUGCUUGAGCACCACAAGGACCACCCCACAAUUGUGACAAGUGCCAUGAAGGCUGCAGUCCGGAGCACAGGUGAUCAACCCUGUCUCACCACUUCAAUUACAAAUGUUUUUAUUUUUCCUUCUGCGUUUUAAUUGUCCCCACACAGGCCCUUCUGAGGUGGACUUAGUAGCAAAAAUAGUAAACGCAUAAUGGCCGGCACUAUUCACACGUCUACUAACCAAACGCUCGUGAGAGCCUGUGACAAGCCCUACUGAUGGCCGCAAACUCACCCUAAGACAUCCAGGGCGGCCUGUUAGUGUGGGCUUCCGAAAGUCCUCAGGGAUCGAUGAGUCGUGCCAGCCUCAGACUCAGCCUCUCAGUGUUGGAAGACAACAAUGUUCUCUCCUGAGCUCGGGCUGUGAUUCCUGAAGACCCUGCGGCAGAGGAACUGGAGGCUUGUGGAGGGUCAGACCUGGGAGUAAGUCUGUGAAGUGGAUCGUGCAGUAAAGUUAACCAUACAGACAGCACACUCCAAGUCUCAAGUGGUGACGAGUAACGGCCAUUAAAUUUGUUCACCAACGUUUCGUCCUCACCUCAUCUACAGAGCCGUCCAAGCCUUCGCCCCAGUGGGACACCGCGUGCCUGCCCCCACGUUCCCACCUGUGUGCACUGCCCUUACCUCUGUCACAGAACCCAGGACACUCCUAGCCAGGGUUGUCAGCCUUUUCCAGCCCCUCAAGGUCAAGAAAUGGUCCCCUGGACCUGAUGAGACCACCACCGUGGAUGGUGGGCAGGCGGCACCCCCUGAGCACUUCAAGAAUGUUCCCAAGUAAAUGCCUGAUUUUCCUCUUCAGGGUUUCACUUAAUCCUCUGCUGUGAAGACACACUCUUUAGAAGUGACCUGGGGUUUAAUUUUUGUUCUGUUCUUUAUUGCUGGCCCUUUGUACAGCAGCUGGUUUCCCCUUGGGCAUACAUUGCAGCUUAAUUUGACUUUUUUUUCACUAAAUGUUAAAAUAUUUUUGGCAAUCGAUUGUCCCUUUAAGAUUAUAUGAUUUCCAUUAGAGUUUAUUUCUAAGAAGAUUGUGAAUGUGGCUGACACAACCUUGCUUCCAGAUGAAAGACGGGGUUCUUAAGGUGAAAAUAACAAGUCACCCCCACUCCUAAUACGCACUAAAAAUUCUUGGAAAAAAAUUGAGACUAAUUUAAACCAAAGUGAAUAAAGCUAAUACUGAUUAAAAUCAGAAAAUCUGAAUUCCAGCAUUGUCUGUGGCCACGGAGAGAGCCUUCCAAAGCCUGAGCCUGGCCCAGCUUUCCCCAGGAGAGCAAAGGAAGCAGGCCCUCCCAGCUCUGACCCGCCACAGAAAGUGCAGGGGCCGGAUGCAUGUUCAACCCGGGCCGUGGUGUGUUUCUUGUGGCAAAACACAAACCGAUUCAGAUGAUCUUUUGAAUUUAAUACCUUUUCAUAAAAUCAUAAAUCUUUCCUCUCCCAUUUUAUAAAUGAAUAGACUGAGGCCCUCGAAGUCAAAG